CCUUUCUGCCCUCUGCCAUGUGAGGUCACAGUGUUCCUCCCUCCUGAGGAUGCAGUGUUCAUGAAAGCAAACACUGGGCCCUCACCAGGCAACAAACCUGCUGGUGCCUUCAUCUUGGACUUCCCAGCCUUCGGAACUAUGGAGCCCGCACUCUCCAGUUCAUCACCACCCCAGCAUCCCUACUCUUGCAUCUAACAGUUUCCGCUAUUUUGCACCACCUGCCUGGCCCUUAUGGGCAACUCAAGGAAGAAAGGAAAGAAGAGAUAGAGGAAAAAUGGAUUCAACAAAUGAAAGUGUUCUUUCUGACUACUGCUGUGUUUACAAACAUUUUAAUCAUCAAAACAUGCUUUAUUUGAUAGAAAGAUCAAAUCUGCCUUUGUAAAACAAGAGACUAUUUUAAUCAUUAAGACAACACACAUGUUUGAUUUGGAGGCGUGUUCUCAUUCAAAACCUUGCAAAAUAUAAUUUCUUCUUGUCUGGGAGAUGGUGUCUUUCUUCGGGGAGAACCUUGAGAGAAAUGUCUAUGAAUGUGUCUGUAGAUUGAGGAUAGGCCAACAAACAUAUUUUGAAAUAUUUUUUCUUUCUUUUAAAAAAAUAGAUACUUUUAAAAGAAAAUGCUUAUUUAAAUUACAUAGCUCUUUUUUUCACUCUCAGUCAUCAUUUGUGGUUUCAGUCAGUACUACAUUUAUUCCCCAGAGCUAGGAUUGCUGUGUUUUUAGAAAGGGAGCCUGUUUGAAGGGACUCUAUACUCUUGCAGUAAUUAAAAUCCUUUUAGGAGUCUUUGACUUUGACUUACUGCUUUGUUUUAAAUUAUUGAAAUUAUUCAACUUCCCCAUUCUAACCCACGGAAGGCUGUUGUUGUUCUCAUUUAUAAUGGCACAAUAUAAGUUUAAAGAUAGCUGUCUCCACAUGAAUGCAUCUGCAAAUCCAUCUCUCUUCUCUCUUCUGCCAUCCAGGUUAAGAAGCUCCACUGCGCUUUGUCCAUUGCAAGUUGAGAAGUGAGGCCCCAGCUGUCACAUACAGUGAGUGAAGAAGCUGAGCUUCCCUCAACGCCUGGGCCUGUAUGAAUUUUUUUUUUUUUUUUUUUUUUGGAGACGGAGUCUCACUUUGUUGCCCAGGCUGGAGUGCAAUGGCACUAUCUCAGGCCACUGCAACCUCUGCCUCCCAGGUUCAAGCGAUUCUUCUGCCUCAGCCUCCUGAGUAGCUGGGAUUACAGAAGUGCACCAUUACAGCUUGCUAAUUUUUGUAUUUUUAGUAGAGAAGGGUUUUCACCAUGUUGGCCAGGUUGGUCUCGAACUCUUGGCCUCAGGUGAUCCGCCCGCACAGCCUCCCAAAGUGUUGGGAUUACAGGCGUGAGCCACUGCGCCCGGCCUUAGGCAGUGGUGGCUGAGAGGAAGAACUGACACCUUUGUGCUAUCAGAGCACUUUGCAGAGGAGCUGUUAGUGGCCCUGUAGGAGUCUGCUGGCCAUACAUCUGGGUGUCAAAUCAAGAGAGCAUGAGAAGUUGGACAGGAAAGGUCCAAGGCAAAAUGGUUACUAAAGGCCAUCCCUGAUCCUGACCCUAAAAGAAGAAAAGGCCCUUUGCUCUUGGCAUGCUUUUGCAGGAGUGUCUCAGUCUGUUUGGGCUGCUAUAACAUUGACUGGGUGAUCUGCCUGCCUGGCCUCCCAAAGUGCUGGGGUUACAGGUGUGAGCCGCUGCACCAGGCCUUGAGGUCAGGAGUUCGAGACCAGCCUGGCCAACAUGGUGAAACCUGUCUUUACUAAAAAUACAGAAAUUAGCCAGGCAUGGAGGCGCAUGCCUGUAAUCCCAGCUACUGGGGAGGCUGAGGCAGGAGAAUCGCUUGAACCCAGAAGGUGGAGGUUGCGGUGAGCCCAGAUAGUGCCAUUGCACUCUAGCCUGGCCAACAAGAGUGAAACUCUGUCUCAAAAAAUAAAUAAACAAACAAACAAACAACA
rnacentral:lncRNA from 1 species